GCGCAUCAUUUUAAAACAAGCCACCCCUCCCACCAACCCCCGCACCCUCUUUUCUUCUCCUCUACGCCCUUCUCUCCGGCCAUUCUCCGGCGCCAUCACCGUCGCCUCCCUCCACGACGAAGCCGCCUUUGCCGAGGUCCACCUCUGCAUCGGUCAACUUCGAGGCCCGGGCCACUGGCCAGAUCUAGCGAUCCCGGGCUCUCCGCGGCGGGACUCAAGACCUCCAGAUCUGACGUCGGUGAUGCUCGGGACCGCCUGAUCUGGGGGAGGGGGUGGUGGCGACAGUCCUUGGCUUCGGCGAGAGCUCUGGCAACGAUAAAGUGGCGGCUGCGUCCGGCGGCCUACAGGCUCCCGCCAGCCGCACGCGCCCAGCUGUGGCGCCCGGCGGCGCAGCUGUCUUCGUGCGCCGCGCCGGCGCCCGCGCAGCCGCGUCCUCUCCGUGACUCCGCGUCUCCGGCUCUCCUCCCCUGGCCGCGCCCUCUCCGUCCCGCGUCCGGCUGUCGCCUACUCGCCCGGCAGCCUCCCGGGCUCCUGGCGUCCCGCCCGACGCCGCCAGCACCCAGCCGCCUAGGCCAGCAGGCCCCAUCCACCGUCCGCCCGUCCGGCCAAUGCUAGUGCGCCACAGCGCCAGUGCAUCACUCCCUCUUCGGAUCUAAACACAUGCAUCCCUCUAAUUAUAGAUAUGAUGCUCCAAUUGAUGAAGACACCGUUGUUGAAGAAGGGUCAUGUGAAGAACAAGGACCACCUCCACCUCCAGAUGUUGUUGCUCAUUUAGGCCUACCCUGAGUUCAAGUCCUGGGUCCGCCACUGCUCAGAUGCCCGACCUGCACGGCUGCACGUAUACGACAUGUAUACCGACAUGUAUAGUUCUAGAACCAUAUUAUACUAAAUAAUUGUGUACCCAAUACAUAUAAGCAUCAUCUCUCUAAUUAAUGGCAAUAUGCAACAAUAAAGUGCAUGGAAAAAAA